GAUGAACGCUGGCGGCGUGCCUAACACAUGCAAGUCGAACGGACAGACCAGGAUUUCGUUCUUUUGUGGGUGGCGGCGGGCGGGUGAGUAACGCGUGGAUCGCCUACCUAUUAUACUGGGAUAAUUUCGAAGAACCGGAGACAAUACCGGAUAAUAUAUUGAACCGCAGGGUGCAGUAGUGAAUGGCGGUUUUUUUGCUAGUUAUAGAUGAUGCCGCGUCGGCUUAUCUAGUUGUUAAGGUACCGGCUUACCAAGGCAACGAUGCGUAGCGGACGUGCGAGGGUGAUCGGGCACACUGGAACUGAGACACGGUCCAGACUCCUACGGGAGGGAGCAGUAGGGAAGGGGACGCAAUGGGCGGAAGCCGGACGGAGCAACAGCGAGUGAGUGAUGAAGGUCUUCGGAUUGUAAAACUCUGUUAUUAGGGAAGAAGAGAAGUGUAAGUAGCUAGGAACGUGUUGACGGUACCUAAAGAAGAAGCACCGGCUAACUACGUG
rnacentral:rRNA from 1 species